UACAGAGGUCCCAAGCGUUGUUCGGAUUCAUUGGGCGUAAAGGGUGCGUAGGCGGCGCGGUAAGUCGGGUGUGAAAUCUCGGGGCUUAACUCCGAAACUGCAUUCGAUACUGCCGUGCUUGAGGACUGGAGAGGAGACUGGAAUUUACGGUGUAGCGGUGAAAUGCGUAGAUAUCGUAAGGAAGACCAGUGGCGAAGGCGAGUCUCUGGACAUUUCCUGACGCUGAGGCACGAAAGCCAGGGGAGCAAACGGG
rnacentral:rRNA from 1 species